GGGCUCCUUCCCGCCGCCGCCUUCGCCUCCUCUUCUCGCCCCACCAAAGCAGCUCCCUCCCCGAGGAGCAGGAAGGGUGUGAACAAGGACUCCGAGUAGCCACACUGCGCCCCUGCCCAGCCUAUAUAAGCGGCGGCCAAUCAGCAGGCGCCGGCGUCGCGCCGCCUCCCCCUGCAGCGCCCCGGCUUGUGCUCUGAUUACUUUCAAGCCGCCCGCGACUGUUGAGACCGGCCAGUUGGAGCUGCUGGCGGCCGGCCCCUCGCAUGCGGCAGGCUGCUCCCGUGGCAACCGCUGCGGGACGUGCUGCGCUCCUGCGGGGGGAUCUCCAUGGAGAUCUUCUCCAUGCUGCUGCCGCCAGUAGGAAUCGCAGCACUCAGAUCUCUCUGCCCGUUCGCGUCCCCACUUUUCCCUUGCAGCCGGGCGGGAUGGCUGCAAGCAAUCUCCAGGCAGGCGUGUAUAUAGCUCGGAGCUAAAAGCAAGAGCAGGACGGGGGGGAACCCCCCUCCCCGCGCCUUUAAAAUGUCGCAAAACUUCCCGUUGUUGCCUAAUCCCUUCCAGUGGAUUUCACUGUGGUUUCCCUUUGGGAGCCGUCGGCCCAGCUUGCCAGAAGGACCGUUCAUCGAGUCUCUGUGUCUCAACAGCUGUUGUUUCCAUGCUCGCCCCUUUCCCAUCCCCGAAGGCCAGUUUGCGCUAAUAAGCUGGAGAGACAGGCUGCCUGGGGGCCGUUGCGCAGUGCAAACCAGCGUGGCCAUCUGGGGCCCAGUAAUCACCAGCCGGCGAACCAAACAGAGGCCGCAAAAAAAGGAAGUCCCUUCUUUAAGCGAGGCAGUGUCUCUCUCGUUGCUUUCCACUUGCAGGAGGAGGACAGAAGAGAAUCAAAUAGCACUGCUUUGUGGGGGAAGAAUCUGGAUGGAAAGUAAAAGCAACCCUGAGCACCCAAAGAGGGAGAGAUUAAAAAUGGCGGGCAUACCCCACUCUGCCAGCCAAUCAAAUUUGCGGUAUUGGCUAGAACAAAAGAUGGAGAAGCAAGCCUGAACACCUUGCAAGCUACUUCAGAUAAGGCUGGGAUCCACCAGUAGCUCCCUAGCUACCUGAUGUCUGCCUGCCCAGAUGCAGCAAUUGCAAGAAAGAACUAAGGAAAGCCACAUUGGGGCUGUUCUCAUGAGCAGCCAAGCCAAGUCGCUCCUGGCAACGACUCGGUGGCAAACCCGUCAAAGAAGCCUGCCUGCUAGCCGAGGUUAAGGGUGCAGUCGUGCUCUUAACCCCAUCUAACUGUUCAUGUGUCCGCAGCCGGUGCCGAGACACUGUGGGGCUCCCAGCCGGUGUUGGCGGGGUGGAUGCACUGCACUGUGCAUUGUGGGAUUUCUGGGGGCUGGGACGAUACAUCCUGGCCCCUGCACCUCCGCUCUGCCUGGAGCAUCCACGUGUGGUGUAGGCACCCGAUCUACACUCCCAGGGUCUUCACGUUGCUCGUCUGUGGAGAAGAGGUCAGCAAGGGCCAGCGAUGCAGCAUGGUGACCACACCACCUGGGACAGACUAAAGAGGAUUUGGAGGCCCGGAGGUCCAGAGAGUGGGUGCAGAGUUUCAUUUCAGUUCUACUGUUUCCCUCUUCAAUCAGCAGUGCCUACCUACCAUUUCCAGCUGCCAAGAAAAGUGACUUUUGGCUGGGUUCGUCUAUCAUUAUCCUGCUGCUGCCACUGCUGCCUCUCUUCAGUUUGGCCAUCUCCUUUCAGUUACAUCCAAAAGCAGGAAAGAAUUUUAGGGUCAAACUUUCCCCUAUGUGGGAUAACUAUCAACAGGUAUGUGGAAGAGGAAGGAACUGUCGCAGCUUCUGAAGAGUUGCCACUUGCAGAGCAAGCCAAGCCUCACAGUCUCCAUGUGAACUAUACAAUCAUUACUGUUUGCUUCAAGCAUGCGAGCAGGCAUCAUGACAUUGAUGAGAUAAAAACCAGGAACAAACAAAUGCCCUUUGCAAGACAAGAUUCCAGUUCAACUUAUUGUUCUGGGUUUUCUCCAUAUUUCCAUAAGAUAUGGACACUAUGAACUUCUUAGACCUAGAUUAGUGUUAGGACGUGUUCUUUAGUGUUAGGACGUGUUUUUGGCAAGGACGGGUUGCUACUCUUUUGUACUCUCAGGCUGCUGUAGGAGGGAGAGAGGACUGGAAAGUGGACACAACUGUUGAAAAUCCCCACCCCAAGUAAGCCAGGCCCACCUACAGAACAGGACACAUGGAGCUCGCUCUGCCAAGGGAUCCCCUCUGAUCUCUAGCUGGCCCUGCUAGACAAAAAGGUCUGAGUGAACAAGGGAGCUAUCUACAGAUACAAGGGAGGCAUGCAAUAGUAUUCUAUCCAACUGCUCCCUCCCUAAGAAGUAAUACAACAACUACUACUACAAUGGAUAUUUAUAUUCCGCUUUUCAACAAAAGCAAUAAAAUUAAUAAAGAUGGAUCCCUGUCCUCAACCGGCUCACAAUCUAAAAAGAAAUGUAAGAUGGCCACCAGCAACAGCCACUGCAGAGAUGCUGUGCAGGGGCUAGAUAGGGCCUGUUGUUCUCCCCUGCUCAAUAAAGAAAAUCACAACUUUCUGGCUAUUCUGCAACAAUUUCUCACCUCCAUCACCACCACAAAAUUUCUGGAAACAGGCCUUGAGACCAUACUCUACUAUAUUUUUAUUUAUUAUUUUAUUUUAUUUUAUUUUACAUAUUUUUAUACCGCCCAAAACUUACGUCUCUAGGUGGUUUACAACAAAAUAAAAACAACAUUAAAACAUUAGUUAAAAACAAAAACAAGAAAUUUAAAAUAUGACAAUUUAAAAUUUUAAAAACAAUAUUCUAAAACAACAUUAAAAACAAUCAAAACAGUAUCAGUUAAAAGCCUGGGUGAACAGGUGCGUCUUUAAAGACUUUUUAAAAAUUUUCGGAGAUGGGGAGGCUCUUAUUUCACUAGGGAGCGCAUUCCAAAGCCUCGGGGCAGCAACGGAGAAGGCCCGUCUCUGAGUAGCCACCAGACAAGCCGGUGGCAAUAUAAUGUCGAAUGCCAUAUUUGAGACAACACAUAUAGUAACAAUGUGAUAAAAUAAAUGUGCUACAAGUGUUAUCUCCAUAUUGUAAAUUUGAAAGUGUCUGCUUUUUCGAUUUAAGUUUGUAUGCAAAAAUCUAAAGCAUUGGCUAUGUGCCUUUUCCUGAACUUGUGUUAUUGCUAAUUUCACUUGAAAUGGAAUCAAACAUUUAAGGUGCCCUAGCCAUUUAUUCAAAACAAGCCUCCGACCCUCCAGAGUGUAUUAUGUAUGCAAAUGUAUGCUCCAGCAUCAUCUAUAAAGCCCUGACUUUUAUUAUU